UACGUAGGUGGCGAGCGUUAUCCGGAAUUACUGGGUGUAAAGGGUGUGUAGGCGGGGAUGCAAGUCAGAUGUGAAAUUAUUGGGCUCAACUCAAUAAGCGCAUUUGAAACUGUAUUUCUUGAGAGUCGGAGAGGUAAACGGAAUUCCCGGUGUAGCGGUGAAAUGCGUAGAUAUCGGGAGGAACAUCAGUGGCGAAGGCGGUUUACUGGACGACAACUGAUGCUGAGACACGAAAGCGUGGGGAGCAAACAGGAUUAGAUACCCCCGUA
rnacentral:rRNA from 1 species